GAGGAGGACGCCGAAGGUGGGGCUAAUGACUGGGGUGAAGUCGUAACAAGGUAGCCGUACCGGAAGGUGCGGCUGGAUCACCUCCUAACAGGGAGACAACAAAAUGUUUAAUAUUAUUAUUUUGUCACCUUAGGUCGAUCGGUAUCUCACGUUUUUAAUUCAUUAAGAAUUUCAUUUCCUAAGUUUUUUCUAGGUCACACCCAUUAUUUUUUCCUGGGCCAUUAGCUCAGGUGGUUAGAGCGCACCCCUGAUAAGGGUGAGGUCCCUGGUUCAAGUCCAGGAUGGCCCAUAUCUCUAUGUUGGGGGUAUAGCUCAGUUGGUAGAGCGCCUGCUUUGCAAGCAGGAUGUCAGCGGUUCGAGUCCGCUUACCUCCACUGAUUACCACCUCUUCCAUAAUUUAUGAGAAGGAAAUGUUUUGAGUAGUGAUCAAAUUCUGAACGAAGCUAGCUUCCUAAUGAAAUCAUUAAGAUGCUGGACUCAUUGAAUUAAUUUCAUUGUUUUCAGAGAACCUUGACAACUGCAUAGAUUAUUUUUAAAGACAAUAAGCAUCUUUAAUGAUGCAGAUUUAUUAUUUGUGCGAAUGCAUUAAUAACAAUUCUAUUAAGCUGAUGCUUCAAUUUUUGAAGUUAUUGGUCAAGCUACAAAGGGCUCACGGAGGAUACC
rnacentral:misc_RNA from 1 species